rnacentral:rRNA from 1 species
GACGAACGCUGGCGGCGUGCCUAAUACAUGCAAGUCGAACGCAUUUUCUUUCACCGUAGCUUGCUACACCGAAAGAAAAUGAGUGGCGAACGGGUGAGUAACACGUGGGUAACCUGCCCAUCAGCGGGGGAUAACACUUGGAAACAGGUGCUAAUACCGCAUAAUUCCAUUUACCGCAUGGUAGAUGGAUGAAAGGCGCUUUUGCGUCACUGAUGGAUGGACCCGCGGUGCAUUAGCUAGUUGGUGGGGUAACGGCCUACCAAGGCUGCGAUGCAUAGCCGACCUGAGAGGGUGAUCGGCCACACUGGGACUGAGACACGGCCCAGACUCCUACGGGAGGCAGCAGUAGGGAAUCUUCGGCAAUGGACGCAAGUCUGACCGAGCAACGCCGCGUGAGUGAAGAAGGUUUUCGGAUCGUAAAACUCUGUUGUUAGAGAAGAACAAGGAUGGGAGUGGAAAGUUCAUCCCUUGACGGUAUCUAACCAGAAAGCCACGGCUAACUACGUG